rnacentral:rRNA from 1 species
GAUGAACGCUGGCGGCGUGCCUAAUACAUGCAAGUCGAGCGAACAGACGAGGUGCUUGCUCCUCUUACGUUAGCGGCGGACGGGUGAGUAACACGUGGAUAACCUACCUUUAAGACUGGGAUAACUUCGGGAAACCGGUGCUAAUACCGGAUAAUAUCUUUAACCGCAUGGUUCAAUAGUGAAAGACGCUUUUGCUGUCCCUUAUAGAUGGCUCCGCGCCGCAUUCGCUAGUUGGUAAGGUAACGGCUUACCAAGGCAACGAUGCGUAGCCGACCUGAGAGGGUGAUCGGCCACACGGGAACGGAGACACGGUCCAGACUCCUACGGGAGGCAGCAGUAGGGAAUCUUCCGCAAUGGGCGAAAGCUGGACGGAGCAACGCCGCGUGAGUGAUGAAGGUCUUCGGAUCGUAAAACUCUGUUAUAAGGGAAGAAAAAAGGUGUAAGUAAAAAUGCACGAAUUGACGGUACCUAAUCAGAAAGCCACGGCUAACUACGUG